GACGAACGCUGGCGGCGUGCUUAACACAUGCAAGUCGAACGGAAAGGCUCUCUUCGGAGAGUACUCGAGUGGCGAACGGGUGAGUAACACGUGGGUAACCUACCUUUAACUGGGGGACAACCGGGGGAAACUCCGGCUAAUACCGCAUAAUGUGCAACGUCAUAAGGCGAUGUACCAAAGAUAGCUUCGGCUUCGUUAUAGAUGGGCCGCGGCAGAUUAGUUGUUGGUGGGGUAACGGCCUACCAAGACACGAUCUGUAGCUGGUCUGAGAGGACGAUCAGCCACACUGGAACUGAGACACGGUCCAGACUCCUACGGGAGGCAGCAGUGGGGAAUCUUGCGCAAUGGGCGAAAGCCUGACGCAGCAACGCCGCGUGAGGGAAGAAUGUCUUAGGA
rnacentral:rRNA from 1 species